rnacentral:rRNA from 1 species
UGGGGAAUAUUGCACAAUGGGCGCAAGCCUGAUGCAGCCAUGCCGCGUGUAUGAAGAAGGCCUUCGGGUUGUAAAGUACUUUCAGCGGGGAGGAAGGGAGUAAAGUUAAUACCUUUGCUCAUUGACGUUACCCGCAGAAGAAGCACCGGCUAACUCCGUGCCAGCAGCCGCGGUAAUACGGAGGGUGCAAGCGUUAAUCGGAAUUACUGGGCGUAAAGCGCACGCAGGCGGUUUGUUAAGUCAGAUGUGAAAUCCCCGGGCUCAACCUGGGAACUGCAUCUGAGACUGGCAAGCUGGAGUCUCGUAGAGGGGGGUAGAAUUCCAGGUGUAGCGGUGAAAUGCGUAGAGAUCUGGAGGAAUACCGGUGGCGAAGGCGGCCCCCUGGACGAAGACUGACGCUCAGGUGCGAAAGCGUGGGGAGCAAACAGG